rnacentral:rRNA from 1 species
AACGAACGCUGGCGGCAUGCCUAACACAUGCAAGUCGAACGAGAUCUUCGGAUCUAGUGGCGCACGGGUGCGUAACGCGUGGGAAUCUGCCCUUGGGUUCGGAAUAACUCAGAGAAAUUUGAGCUAAUACCGGAUGAUGUCGAAAGACCAAAGAUUUAUCGCCCAGGGAUGAGCCCGCGUAGGAUUAGCUAGUUGGUGGGGUAAAGGCCUACCAAGGCGACGAUCCUUAGCUGGUCUGAGAGGAUGAUCAGCCACACUGGGACUGAGACACGGCCCAGACUCCUACGGGAGGCAGCAGUGGGGAAUAUUGGACAAUGGGCGAAAGACUGAUCCAGCAAUGCCGCGUGAGUGAUGAAGGCCUUAGGGUUGUAAAGCUCUUUUACCCGGGAUGAUAAUGACAGUACCGGGAGAAUAAGCCCCGGCUAACUCCGUG